rnacentral:misc_RNA from 1 species
GAUGAAGAACGUAGCGAAAUGCGAUAAGUAAUGUGAAUUGCAGAAUUCAGUGAAUCAUCGAAUCUUUGAACGCACAUUGCGCCCGCCAGUAUUCUGGCGGGCAUGCCUGUUCGAGCGUCAUUUCAACCCUCAAGCACAGCUUGGUGUUGGGACUCGCGUUAAUUCGCGUUCCCCAAAUUGAUUGGCGGUCACGUCGAGCUUCCAUAGCGUAGUAGUAAAACCCUCGUUACUGGUAAUCGUCGCGGCCACGCCGUUAACCCCCAACUUCUGAAUGUUGACCUCGGAUCAGGUAGGAAUACCCGCUGAACUUAAGCAUAUCAAUAAGCGGAGGA